CAUUGCGAUUCGAAAUGGAUAUUUAGUGCUAUAAAAUAAAAAAAUUAAUAUGUAACACCAAUUUUAUAAUGUGUACUGGACAGCCUGCAGUAAGUUUUACCACUCCACUAGAAAACAAAAGACGGAAAAGCAACCAACGCACAGCCCAGAGUGUCACGUCAUCGCUUGGAUUCCCGCGACAUUGUCAACAAUACGUUUGUGGAUGAACUAACAUUGACUGAACGGAGAAUUGAAAACUUAUCAACAAGCUCAGAAGUUCAUAAAGGACAAAUAUACUACUUAUGGAGCACUACUUAUUAGUACCGUAUACAAGCGUCGCUAAUCGACGACUGUCAUUCUCUUUAUGUGGCACAAGGCAUCAAGCCGCAUCAAGCGUUCUUCGAAUGUUUAACGCAAAGUGUUUAGCGCUAAACAUUCUUCGAGGAGACGAAGAAAUCCCACGCAUACAGAAAGAAAAAAAAGCCGAUGUAUGGUCGGCGUUGCUGGUAGCCUCAGCCGAGAGGUGCAGUG